UGAAGUAAGUAAGGGCGUACGGUGAAUGCCUUGGUGCCAACAGGCGAAGAAGGACGCGGCAAGCUGCGAAAAACCUCGGGAAGCUGCAAGCAAGCGAUGAUCCGGGGGUAUCCGAAUGGGGUAACCUGAUCGAGGCAAUACUCGAUCGUUCAUACCUGAAUACAUAGGGUAUGAAACGCGAAACCCGCUGAAGUGAAACAUCUCAGUAAGCGGAGGAAAAGAAAGAGAAAUCGAUUCCGUAAGUAGUGGCGAGCGAAAGCGGAUGGAGCCCAAACCGAAGGUACUCCUUCGGGGUUGUAGGACCACGACAUAUUCGACCAUACUGGAUAGUAGAACAGCCUGGAAAGGCUGGCCAUAGAAGGUGAAAGCCCUGUAGACGAAAUCCAGAGUGGGAAUUAGUGGUAUCCUGAGUAAUACAUCACACGUGGAACGAUGUAUGAAUCCGCGCGGACCACCGCGCAAGGCUAAAUACUAGUUGGCGACCGAUAGUGAACAAGUACCGCGAGGGAAAGGUGAAAAGAACCGCUGUGAGCGGAGUGAAAUAGAACCUGAAACCGUAUGUCUACAAAGUGUCAGAGCAGAGCGAUCUGCGAUGGCGUGCCUUUUGUUUAAUGAGUCUGCGAGUCAGUGUUUGUGGCAAGACUAAGGGCUUCCGGCCCGGAGUCGCAGCGAAAGCAAGUCCGAAUAGGGCGAAUCAAGUCGCAGGUACUGGACCCGAAGCGGAGGUGACCUACCCUUGGCCAGGUUGAAGCAUGGGUAAAACCAUGUGGAGGACCGAACAGGUGAACGUUGAAAAGUUCUCUGAUGAGCUGAGGGUAGGAGUGAAAGGCUAAUCAAACCCCGUGAUAGCUGGUUCUCUUCGAAAUGCAUUUAGGUGCAGCGUCACGUGCUGAUGCGCGGGGGUAGAGCACUGACAAGGCUAGGGGGCACACCCGCUUACCAAACCUUAUCAAACUCCGAAUACCGUGCAAUGGAACGUGGCAGUGAGACAGUGGGGGAUAAGCUUCAUUGUCGAGAGGGAAACAACCCAGACCAGCAGCUAAGGUGCCUAAAUAACGCUCAGUGGAAAGGAUGUGGGAUUACACAGACAGUGAGGAUGUUGGCUUAGAAGCAGCCACCAUUUAAAAAAUGCGUAAUAGCUUACUCAUCGAGUGAUCCUGCGCCGAAAAUGAUUGGCGAUCAAGCGUUAUACCGAAGCUCUGGACUUUGCCGCAAGGCAGAGUGGUAGAAGAGCGUUGCAUGCGCAUUGAAGGGUGAUGGCGACUGACCCUGGAGCGCAUGCAAGUGAGUAUGCAGACAUGAGUAACGUAAAGCCGGGUGAAAUCCCCGGCCGCCGUAAACCCGAGGUUUCCAGGGCAACGUGUUUCGUCCCUGGGUUAGCCGGGACCUAAGCCGAGGCCGAGAGGCGUAGGCGAUGGACAUCAGGUUAAUAAUCCUGAGCUCGCGACCCUUAAACUGGGGGGACGCAUGAGAAAAGAUGACUAGGUUAUUGAAUUCCGAGUUGAGUCCACGGACUCAGCGCAUCAUUGGAUCGAGUGCCAAGAAAAGCCCCAGCGUAUGCUAAGCGACCCGUACCGCAAACCGACACAGGUGGGUGGGUAGAAUAUACCAAGGCGUAAGAGUGAAACCUGGUUAAGGAACUCGGCAAAUUAGCCCCGUAACUUCGGAAGAAGGGGUGCCUGCAGCGAUGCAGGCCGCAGAGAAAUGGCCCAACCGACUGUUUAUCAAAAACACAGCACUCUGCAAAGACGCAAGUCGAAGUAUAGGGUGUGACACGUGACCAAUGCCGAAAGAUUAAGGCAAGGGGUUAGCCGCAAGGCGAAGCUCUAAACCCAAGUCCCGGUGAAUGUCGGCCGUAACUAUAACGGUCCUAAGGUAGCGAAAUUCCUUGUCGGGUAAGUUCCG
rnacentral:rRNA from 1 species